rnacentral:rRNA from 1 species
AAGCGAAGUCGCGAGGCGGAGCGAACCUCAAAAACCGGUACCCAGUUCGGAUCGCGGGCUGCAACUCGCCCGCGUGAAGCCGGAGUUGCUAGUAAUCGCGGAUCAGAACGCCGCGGUGAAUGCGUUCCCGGGUCUUGUACACACCGCCCGUCACACCAUGGAAGUCGGGGGCGCCCGAAGUCGGUCGAGAAAUAGGCUGCCUAAGGUGAAACCGAUGACUGGGGUGAAGUCGUAACAAGGUAUC